UCUGCGAUGGGGCGGGCGCGUCGAGACGACGGUCCUCGUCGCUGUAUGGGGACCAUCAUGGAUAAAUUCGGCGUUCGAACCGUGGUUGCAAAC
rnacentral:tRNA from 1 species